rnacentral:rRNA from 1 species
UCUUGGUCAUUUAGAGGAAGUAAAAGUCGUAACAAGGUCUCCGUUGGUGAACCAGCGGAGGGAUCAUUAUCGAGUUAUUCAACUCCCAAACCUUAUGUGAACUUACCACUUGUUGCUUCGGCGCGCGCUUCGGCGCCGCCGAGGACACUUAAACUCUUUGUUUUUAUAAGCAUUUCUGAGUGGCCGAAAGGCAAAAAUACAAAUGAAUCAAAACUUUCAACAACGGAUCUCUUGGUUCUGGCAUCGAUGAAGAACGCAGCGAAAUGCGAUAAGUAAUGUGAAUUGCAGAAUUCAGUGAAUCAUCGAAUCUUUGAACGCACAUUGCGCCCGCCAGCAUUCUGGCGGGCAUGCCUGUUCGAGCGUCAUUUCAACCCUCGAGCCCGACUCUUUUGAGGACGGCUCGGCGUUGGGGGACGGCAGACUCCCCCCGGCAUCUCGCCGGGGACGCCGCCCCCGAAAUCUAGUGGCGGCCCUCCGAGGCGACCUCUGCGUAGUAACUUGUUCUCGCACCGGAAAGCUCAGAGCGGCCACGCCGUAAAACCCCAACUUUUUUCAGGUUGACCUCGAAUCAGGUAGGACUAC